CCUACGGGGGACAGCAGUGAGGAAUAUUGGUCAAUGGACGAGAGUCUGAACCAGCCAAGUAGCGUGAAGGAUGACUGCACUAUGGGUUGUAAACUUCUUUUAUAUGGGAAUAAAAUGUUCCACGUGUGGGAUUUUGUAUGUACCAUAAGAAUAAGGAUCGGCUAACUCCGUGCCAGCAGCCGCGGUAAUACGGAGGAUCCGAGCGUUAUCCGGAUUUAUUGGGUUUAAAGGGAGCGUAGGUGGAUUGUUAAGUCAGUUGUGAAAGUUUGCGGCUCAACCGUAAAAUUGCAGUUGAAACUGGCAGUCUUGAGUACAGUAGAGGUGGGCGGAAUGCGUGGUGUAGCGGUGAAAUGCUUAGAUAUCACGCAGAACUCCGAUUGCGAAGGCAGUUCACUGGACUGCAACUGACACUGAGGCUCGAAAGUGUGGGUAUCAAACAGGAUUAGAUACCCUUGUAGUC
rnacentral:rRNA from 1 species